CUGGCACCCAUGACAGUCUUUCUAAAAACCAGCCGGCUGGUGGGGCAGACUUGAGAACUCGGUGUG
rfam:Myotis lucifugus cont2.26426, whole genome shotgun sequence.